AAGACACCUCUGAAUAAAAUCCAAUUUCUUACUAAUUGAAUUCAUAACUAUACUUUGAUUUCUAGAUUUUUAAUCAAUACAAGGCACGUGCAAAAACGAACACAACUACAAAAAUACAAUUCAACUAUUUUUCUUUUCAGAAAAAUGGCUUAUAAGCGACCAUAUAAAGGAAUGAAAGGCGAAAGUGGUACCAAAAAUAAAGAUAAGGACUUACUUCUUAUAAGUAAUAAUCUGCAAAAAGGGAUUAUAAUAAUAAAUACGAAGGGGACAAAAAUAGAAGAAAUAUACAACCGAGGACGCUAAGGAUAAAUCAACCGCGCACAUGAUGUGGGUGUUAAGCAAACAAUAUGAUCCUACAAUAAUCCUCAAAAAGCGCAGGUGAUUUAAGGUGAAUUAAGUAAGCCUUAUAUCGCUUUCCACAUCAAUGACAUAGCUAAUCCUGUGUGAAGGCGGUUCGUCUUGACUGAAGGCUGUCAGAGGAAGAUUAUAGAGAGACCAGGGGAGAGUAAUCCCUAUUCCUCUUUUACUGUCCCCUCUCUGUUAUCAGUUAGAGUUUCUUUGAUAACUUUAAUUCUUAUUUGAUUAUUAACUUGUUUGAUUAGAAAUCGCUGGAGAUACUUACUACCUAAAUUAACAGGCCAUGGUUUCGAAAA